UUGCAAGGCUGCUUUCUGGCCAUUCUAGUGAUGCAACCUGACAAGCCAUAGCACCAACAAUGGGGAAGGAAGAACUGUAUGAGCCUGCCUAACUCCAGGCUGAAGCUGUUGUGUGAGGAGGAAUCCAGUUGCACAAACCUCAACAGAAGUCAUGCCACACCACGUUGCUCAAAGCUGAACUGCGAGUCUGCAUGGUGUGCAUGGUGGUGCCACUAGAUGUCCCUUGUCACCCAAGUGAUGUUGGUGGCUCAUCCCCAGUGCUAUAUGAUGUAGCACUGUAAAGAAAUCAGUGUUUAAAGCAUUCGAUAUAGAGAGAUGUUGUGGCUGUCUCAAAAAGAAGACUUGUGUUAUCCUCAGAAAGCUGACAUCUUGGCGAGGACAUCUGUGCCACUCAGCAUGCCUAUGCCCUUGCACAGCUUCACCUGGGCUUCUGUGGAGUGAUUCCUGCUCGCCCUUGUCCCCCAUGGUGCUCUGUGCACCUACCAUUGCUGUAUGAGUAGGGGGAUGCGCCUGUCCCCAUGCUGCCCUGAAAGCUUCUGUGCCGUGUUAUCAGCCCCAGGAUGUGUCGCUGCAGUGUGUGAUCGCACAGACCAUGCUGCUGAGUAUUCAGAGUCACAUACGCUCGCCUGAAUGACUGAAAUGAAGUAUUUGCUGCUUUCUACUUCAUUUAAACCUGCGGGAGCUGGUAGUGCUCAUCCUCCCCACACACUGAGGUAUCCACACGUGCCACUCACCAGCCUGGGGCUUCUUCCCCAAGCAAUGGCUGAGCAAAUCUCUUAAUAACAGAGCAACUACUCGCAGAUUAUUGUGAUCAUAAUUUGGCUGACAUAGCCUUUAUUACUAAUGGCAAUGCUGGAAAUGGAAAACCCAGCUUGAUGCUCAGCUCCCUGCUGGAAAGUAAUAAAAUAAAGAGGAACAAAAUCAGUGAGUGUAUUUGCUACCAAACCUUUGAAAAACACAAAAGUGGAACCCUGCCAAUGCUGUUGCUGGCGGUUUUUCAGACCAGAGCCUCUCUCCAAGGUAGGAUUAGAAGUGGAAGUGCAUUUGUAUCUAUGACAUUAGUAUCAUGUUGUUGUGUAUGAAUGGAGGAUUUGCAAUCAUUUGACAUCUAUUGGUUUCUAUUGCAAUUAUGGCACGCUGCUUUUUUUUUUACCUUCAGCAUAUUCUUUAACAUCUUCCAGUCAUGGAAUAAGUAGAAGACAACUUCAGUUAUUGUCACAAUCAAACAAACAAAGACAAGUGUUGUUUUUUUUUUGCCAACUCAAAGAAUGGUCAAAAGAGGAGUUUCAUUGAAAAUGUUCUGAUAAAAAUGGAGGAUGUCGCAGCUUUUCAGUGAGGUCUUUGUUGACAACAUGAGCUGAGGGAGGUUGGCUUUUACAUAGCCUCUUUUGUCCAUCUUUGUGCAAUGGCAGAAUUCACAGCUAAAUUCUGAUGGCAGAAAUUUCUUGUCUGAGAAUGGUAUGAUAUCAUAUAGAUUCAUUAAAAAAAAAAACCAUCCCCAGACCAUAGCUCGGAUUUUGAAUACCAGAAUGAGCCUUCAGUGCUAAGGAAUGAGCCUCCAGUGCUGAGAAUACAGAAAAAGCUAUUAAUUUUUUUUCUUAAACAUAAAGAGAACCACUUGAUAAAAUCAGUUGCAAAUAAAGGAGGAAUGUAAAUGCACUUUUCAAUUAUUUUUUUAUUUCCCUCCCUCUCUCUCUCUCUUUUUUUUUUUUUCCAUGUUAAUACUUCUUUGGCUCUUGGUUCAUAACCAUCCAGUAAUUAUAAUUAUAAAGGAAACUAACUUUUACCGUGCUAAUUAAACUGUAUGUCACAUAGGCAUUCGGGGAGAAUUUCCCAUGCUUUCUAGCAUGAAUGGAAGGAAAGAGCAGCGGUGCUCAAUUUAAACUCGAUUUUUUUCUGGUACCUUGCAAAAAGGCUUCAUUGUAUUUUGAUUAAUCCAUGCUUGGUCCACCUCGGAUGUUUCCAUGGAAACAGAAUUUUUUUUUUCUUGAUGGCAACUGUUAGGCUCAGGAAGGUUCCUCUCCACACAAAACCACUCUGGCUCCUAAAGAACUACUUGUUGGAAAUUUAAUGUGCAUAAACAAAACUCCCAAAUUCCUCCUCAGUAUUACGGCAUUAUUGUUGUCAACGCUAAUAGAGAAGUGUUUUCUUAAUGGUACAGAGUGGUGCCUUUUCACUCCACAAGAAAAUAGAAUGUUACUAUUAUUUCUACUGCCAGAGAGUGCUUUUCUUGGUCCAGGAAAAAUUAGAUUGCAAACCUUUCAAAAUUAAAUUUUAAGAGUUCCAAUGUGUGAAUAUUAUCUAGUUCUAGGCAUAAAUCAUUUGCCUUAAUGGCUGUAAAAAAAUUAAUUAAACUUGCCUUGUCGAUUGGCAGUAAUUUGAAUAAAUUAUUCUUCUGUGUCAUAUUAUUAUUUUUUUUUUUCAAAGAAAGAAAGAAUCUCUUCAUACGCACUGCUAUUAUGGUUGGAAUAGGUUUUAAAAGUCGGCCAACAGGGGGAGCAUUUGUAUGGUAUUAUUAAUGUCACAAAGUGGUUGGAAACACGACCAUAUUUUUUUGUCUAAAAUUAUUAGAAUUCUUGACCAUUUUUUAAAAUAGAAAAGGUUUUGGUUUGGAGUGUUUCAGCUUCUGAAAAAUCAAAUCUUGACUUCUGCUGACAGUACAAGAAGCUAUUUUAAAGUGAUGGUUGGGUUUGUUGUUUGGAAAAAUUGAAGUUUUAGACCACAGAUAAAAUAUUAUUUUGGUUGAAAAGCAAUUUUUGGUUAAAAGUAUGUGGAGGAAACCCAUUCAAGCACCUCUAAUUGAAAUUUGACUUGUUAUUUUUAUUUCAGUGACAUCCAUACCACAUCAUAUAAGAUGGCGUAGAAAUAUAAAAUGUAAAUAUGUAUAUUAGAGUAAAGCCCUGACACCAGUGCUUGUAAAAGUCAAGGCAGAGAUGAGAGAAAAAGAGCUGUUGAUUUAUUCAUCCUUCUUUUUGUUUCAUCUUUUUUCAUCAUGAGAAGGAAUCUGCCAAAUGGAAAAAGGAAGAUCUCUUUGAGUGCAAAAUAGAAUUUUCAAGCUUUCUCCAAGUACAUACUGCGAAUAGGAAGUAUACAUCAAG
ensembl:lncRNA